rnacentral:rRNA from 1 species
AGCGACAGGCCUAACACAUGCAAGUCAGGGGCAGCACAAGGAGCAAUCUGAGGUGGCGACCGGCGCACGGGUGAGUAACACGUAUGCAACCUGCCUGUAAGCGGGGAAUAACCCGUUGAAAGACGGACUAAUACCGCAUAAUACUAAAUUACUGCAUGGUAAUUUAUUUAAACAUUUAUGGCUUACAGAUGGGCAUGCGCAUGAUUAGCUAGUUGGAGAGGUAACGGCUCCCCAAGGCAACGAUCAUUAGGGGUUCUGAGAGGAAGGUCCCCCACACUGGUACUGAGACACGGACCAGACUCCUACGGGAGGCAGCAGUGAGGAAUAUUGGUCAAUGGACGAGAGUCUGAACCAGCCAAGUCGCGUGCAGGAAGAAUGUCCCUAUGGAUUGUAAACUGCUUUUGCAGGGGAAUAAAGUGCAUCACGUGUGAUGUUUUGUAUGUACUCUGCGAAUAAGGAUCGGCUAACUCCGUGCCAGCCGCGGC